AUCACGUAAGAUCUAGGAUUCAAAUGCAGGGUUUUCAUUAAGUAUAAAUAUAUCAUCCCUCGUGUUGGUAUAGUAUUUUCUUCUUAUGAACUGGUCUGGAUUUCAGUCUUUGCUGCCUCCUCCAUCACAAGGCAUGGCAACACCUCACAGUCACAUGCUUCCUUGCUUCCUCUUCAAGAUAUUCCCAAGAGGUAGGAAGGUGCAAUUAGCAGCCUACAGCAUCAAGAAGCCUGUGCAGGAACACAGGACAUUUCUGGUUUAGCCACAAGAUGACCAAGUGUCUGAGCACAGGACCACUCUCCCCCUGGACCUGAGCCUCAUAAGACACCCUCAGAGGACACCACGAAGUGCUGGGGAAAAGUUUCUGAGCAAACCAGCACAGUGGGGGCUGUGCUCGCUCAUCCAGCUGCUAACGUGGAGGAGGCUCAGGAGCAUGAGGGAAAGGGGAAGCCCAUCUUCCUACAUGCCCAAUAACAGUGCAGAGGAGGAAGGAGAACAGUGUUCAGACACUGGAGUUUGGUCUCAUCUGUAUCUGGUCAUAAGUGAAAGCUCUCCUAAACAGCUCCCUGCAAGACAAUCUGUGGGUUUUCCUGCGGAUAGGUUAAGUGACUCUCAGAUUAGAAAGUGCUGAGCAGUGCUCCUGGUAGUUUAUCUUUGCUAAUGCUUCCUUUAAGCUUCUAUUUCAGACAAUGCAAGUGAUGACUCUUUUAAUAAAACUUGGCCAUAGAAGUUACAUUAGCAAAGGACAGGGCAGGUAGUACAAGCUCACCUGUGGAGAUUGCCAAAAGCCUGCAAAGCCACACGUUAACUUUCAGAGAGGGGCCUGUAAACCAGGUGUAUUUUAAAACCUCACAAUUGGUGUUUUGUGUGCUGACACCCAGCCUUCGGUGGCAGACAUAAGAAAAGCCCCAAAUAAAAGUCCUUCCUAGGAAAGAUAUGAUAGAUGAUAGAGAAGUCUCAAGGAAAAAAGGUGUUUGCAGAGGUGCAGGAGCUUCCCAGUGAGUAUGGAGCUGUCAAAACCAAGGUUGUCAGGAUAAUUGAAAAAAACCAAUUUAUUAAAGAGUAAUUAGCUCAAAUGAAGGAAAUGUAUUUCCUCAGCUCUGGAAACGGGAUAUACUGUUUCACAAAGUGGAAGAGCCUAGUGGGACGUUUUGACAUACAUACUCAGGCAUUGAAGAGCUGCAGCCUCUUUAGGAAAUUAAGUAAUGAGAGUGAAUAGGAAUAAAGGAAAGUGCCUCUUUGGAGCAGAUGAAAGGACUCCAGAUGCAUACACGGCUGUGACUGCUUCAUAUUGUUUGGGACUUCAAGUUCUGAAAACAAGAGAGACAAUCCUGAUGAAAUAUGUAAGUCCUCACCUGAAUGCUAUAAAGACAGAAUCAAAUUUAAUGUUAAAGCUCAAAUACAGAAAGGAAAUGCAAGAGGAAAUGAAAAGUGAAAAAUAAUCUUCCCUUGAAAAAAGUAAUAAAGAUAUUCCACUUCCCCAUGCUCUCCCUUAUCUCACAUCACUUGGGAAGCAUUGAUUCUGCUCACAUGUGAGCUUCUGCACAGACUAUGCCACACAUUGCAGGAUGUAAUUUCUUGGUUUGAAAAGAACAAUUGGAACUGAGAGCCCUGUCGUGCUUGUCAGCAUCCCCAGCUCUACAGGUCACACACACAGUCACAGUCAUCACCACCAGGUGCUACCUGGCAGGUCUGUCAUGGCCACUCUGGAAUAAACCCAGCACAGGACAGGAACUACCUUGGGUUGAUUAUUAAAAACUCAGGCUACACUUAUAUUAAAAAAAAAAAACAAACUUCUACAAUGGUCUGCUGCUCCUUACAGUGUUUGGGCAAUGAAAUGAAAGCAGAAAUGCAAAUCUAAAGAUGAUGGACCAAGCAGGUCUAGUCCCCCUCUGUGUCAAACAGCAGCACCUUUGCCCUGCCCAUGGCCAUGGUUUCUCAUUAUUUGCUUCUUCCAGGGCCCAGCACCAUGUGCAGCACUACCCACACACUCUUUGGGACCACUUCAAACAGCGCUGUCAGACUGGCACAGGUCUGGUCUGGAGGACACAUCUCCAUUUGGUGUAGUUCAGGCAUGGAAGGACUAAGCAGGAGAGCCCCUGCCAGCAAGGCUUAUUCACUGAAUCUCAAACAAGAAUAUCCUACAGUCCUGCCUUAGCUGUACCAAAGUCUGUGAUUACAGCACUCUGCACUCUUCCACCACUGCAUGUUUUUUGUGGGUACAGGCAGGCUGCUCCCACCUGGAGAGCAGCUCAGCAGGCACUGGUCCCCCGGGCCCUGCCCUGCAGCUGGGGCAAACACACCUCUGCAGAUAACACUGCUAAUGUCAGAUUAUGUUCUCUGAGACACCAGGGCUCUGCUCCACCACUUGCUGUUGGGGUGACAGCAGAGGAGAGCACCAAUGCCUUCAUUCUGCACCUCCACCCUGAAGAACAGCAUUUCUCUCCUGCACAGAUCGUGACAGUAGGGUUGUUAAAAGGUUGCCAUGCAGUCAGAUAGGCCAUUAGUAAGGAACAAUCCCUAGGUAAAUAAUUAGCAAAUUACAUGUUUGACAAUAAAUGGAGAAAACUUAAUUCUUGAUUGUUAACAGUCUGGCAUCUUUCACAUUAAAAUUACAGCAAAUAAGCAAUUUCACAUUGCAGGUCUUACACAGUAAUAUUUUCCUUUGCCAAGCCAUUUUCCCAGUAAACAAAGAACUCUGAGAAUGCUUAUCUAAGUAUAAAACCUUGGAAGAAAAAUAGAAAAUUAUGUCCAAAAUGAAAAAUAAAAUAGCAUGUGUUGGUUUUACAGCACUGGAAAUGCCAUAAAACUUAAUACUCCAAGUGCAAGAGGUUGAAGCUGUUAGCUGUCAUUAGUGCACCCCUUCUAUUGAACACCAUCUUCCACUGCAAAUCAAGUCCCAAACAGCUCGUGAAAAAACAAGAGGCAGAAAGAAAAUGAGGCUGAAUUGUGAAGUAUAUAGAUGAUUUGUUCUUAUGGCAUUAGAGAUGACCAAAGCAAAAAGAGGAGUUUCUUUUAUAGUUCUGAUGUAUUUUAAGAAUUUUGCACCACAGGCUGCAUUUCAAUUACAGGACCAGAGUGUAACAACAGAUGGGAUGUGAUGCUUAAAACCCACCAGUUUUCCAGACAGGAAGUCUCACACCAGGAUGGCCACCCAUAUAGGACAGGGCAUCUGCUCUUUUCUGUCAUCACUCUGUCUUGAUAAAGGUCUGGAUGCAACACUUCCAGUGUACUGCCAUCUCCUGGGAACACGAGGUGAGAUUUAAAGCACAGUUUCAUCUCUGCGACAAAACCUUUGCAACACAUGUUGGCACGAAAGCCUACACCAGUCACUGACACUACUUACCCCUCGGCCUGAAUUACAACCAAAUACUGUGAAAUGCUGCCCUAAUUAUGCUGUCUAGAAUAGCUGGGCCACUGUUCAUUAAAAGAGAAGUCAAAUUACUGAAUCUCUCUUUCUCAUCAAUCUCUGCUGGCUGUUAUUCCGAUGACCAGGUCAUCAUUAAGAUUGCUAAUGAAAAACAGAACCUGGGAGAUGGCCUCACCAACGACACAGCUGCUCCCCCACGAGUCACAACCUCAAACACACUGGAGAUGGAGACAAGCAAAGCAAACACCACUGGAAGCACAAGAAACCACUGGAACCAUAGAAAGCAGAGGUGAAAGACUUCACAAAACAAAUGGUGAGAGGGAGAUGCAGCAGCCAUCUGCUUAUUGCGAAGUGUCCAAGGGGUAGUUCUGCCUAAAGAGAGGACAUCCUUCAGGCUACUGUGGAAAAGCCACUCUAGGAGUUCAACCGUGGCACUGGAAGGCAGUGCCAGCCACAGCAGUCUUGUUGGCACCAGCUGCAGCAGGGUGCCACAAACAGCAGCUGUGUCUGAACAAGGUGGUGGCGAUUCCCAGUGUCUGACCAAUGUAGGUCAUACCCAUGCCUCGGCCUGGCAAGCCUGCCUGAGCUGACCAGAGAGAGCCCCACAGCACCAUCAUUUCUCAUCCACAUGCUAAUCAUCAAAUAAUGCCAAACUCCAACUUAACCAGUUUUGUUGAUGAAGCAGGUAUAUAUUUUUUAAAUCUCAGAAAACAUAACAACAUACAUGAGAAAAUUCUAUUCUGUACCCCUUAAAUUAGACUUCCUCAAACCAGAAAACAGGAUGAAGAUGACCUGGUCUCCAGACCAGUGAUCCAGAGCUAGAAAGCACUAUAAUUAGAAUCAGGACUGAGACUGAAGACCCUGGGUUGUUUGCAAAACUAAUUAGUUAAUGUCAUUAGAAAGCAACAGAGAAUAAGCAAGAGCUGACUCAGACUCUAGAGCAAUCUAAGCAAAGGACAGUUUAAUAACUGUACUUACGAUAUGUUCUAAGCGAAAAAAGAAAAUCACUGUAUGGAGUAGCUUCCAUCCUGGGCAAUAUCCACACAUCCUGGACUUGGCAAAAUGGCUUGGAGAAGAGGGUUUCAUCAUAGUAAACACAGCUACUUCACAGCAAGAUUUAUUAAUACAUCCAAAAGAAAGAAAGAAAAUCAUUUUGUCACACUAUAUACAGAUAAUACAUACAGUGUUUUAUACACAUAUUACAUCAGUUUUUACACAAGAAAAAUAUACAUAAAAAUGUAAACUUUUGUAUACAAAAACCCUUAAACAAAUUAAACAAGGACCAGAUAACAAAAGGAGACCAAUCUAUUAUCAUUUAAUUGAAUUUUUUUUUUUUUUUAAAUGGUAAUACAGUACAUUCAUUGAGAAGUAUGAGGAACAUGUGAGCCAACCUUUCCUAUUUAAAGGGAAAGUACAAACACAAGCUUUCCUCCCCGCCCCUGGAAUGCUGUCCGUGAGCCUCCAGCACUAGAAGUGGUGUGAGUUGCCAUUGCUGCCAGGGACCCUGAAGGAAGGGACCCUUCUUCUUGGGCACCUCCAUGCACCACACACACUCUCCCAAAGCGACACAUCCACAGAAGCAAGCUGGGCUGGGCUGUUUGUGCGUAUUAGCCAGUCUUCCAGCUAAUACCAUGAGAUGGGACGUGGCAGUGCCCGUUUGUAUGUUCCCUUUAAGCAGUCAUUAAGUAGAUUAGCGUUGCAGGAGGAAGUUGUUUAUUUUUCCCAAUGUAUGGUAUGCUGAACACAAGUGUCAGGGAUGAGAGGGAAGAAGGAAGGGGUGUAAGAGACUGCUAAUCCUUGCUACCAUGCAGUUACUUCAAAAUCAGGUACGUUUGCAAGCUACAAUUCACUGGUUCAAAAUACACUGCCUCACCUUUGCUUUCCCACUGCAACUUGUUUACAUUUUAAACUCUAGUGACCGAACAACUGUGUAUGAGGCUCUUUGUUACAAGGCUGUUUCUGAUAUCAAAGCAUGAUCAAGCUACCUUUAAAAUGACACCAAACACAAACUUCUCGGAGACAGCCUUAAAAAGAGAGAGCAUUCCCUCUAAGCACUUCAGAUUGUCCAUUUGCCACCUUCUUUUAUUAUGUCUAGGAUAAAUAUAUUUACCCUUAACUGCAAAAAGGAUAUUGAUUGAGCUUCUGACAUCUGUUUUGCUCCACUUGUAGAUAAACAUUUUUGGGAACUGGAGGGAAAAAAAACCCAAAAAACAAACCCAAAUUUUAAAACCUCAGGCAUAAAAUAAGAAGGGAAUUAUUUAACGUGUUGGUGAAAAAAACAGUUGCAGAAACUUGAACUUGUUGGAAACAAACAGACGAUAGAUUCCAAUGAAGGCUUCUCACAUUAAAUAAGUUAGACGGGUUACAGACAUCUUCAAUUAAAACAUCCAUCCUCCACAAAGUAUGUUAAAAUGAAACACAAUAGUGAUGCACUGGCAUUUCUCCUAAAAAGGACAGAAGGACAUGAAAUCUCCUUAGUGAUAUAAGUACUAUUGAAUGUAGGAGGUGAACAAUAAUUUAUGAAAGUAUUGAGGGAAAAAGAAAAUCAUGAAUCAUUAAUUAUAAUUGGACAAAAGGGGGAUGGGGCAGAAUGCAAUUACUGUAUGCCUCAGAAACACCUGAAGGAAAUAAACACUUAGAAACUUGUGUUUCCAUUUCUUUCACCUAAACGAUGGUGGGAAUAAGGGCUUGUCUGCUUGCUUUUGUUUUUUUGUUUUCUUUUUUUUUCUUUUGCUUUUUAAAAUAACAACCCUUCUAGUAAAAAAUUCAAAAGACUAUUACAAAUGGCUUUAGAUAAUUAAAAGUCUCCUUUUUAAAAUAAAACUUUGAUAACACAUUUCUCCAUUUCUUCUAUAUUCAGUGAAAAUAAGUAAUAAGGGACAGCAAUUUGCAAAAAAAGUGUCAAAAAAAAUUGCCAACCAAGUAUCAUAACAUAUACAUAUGUAUAUGCAGGACAUCUACACUCUAUAUACAUAUUUAAUAUAGGUAUGCAUGAGUAAAUAUCAGGAGACAACCAACAGGUACGUUCUCCACAUACAUAAACCAAAAUAGCAUAAUAGGCGUGUGCGUAUCAAUCUGUAUUACCCACACGCAGUACACAGACAUACCCAUACACACGCCCCAACAUAUGUAUCAGAGAAGUUGUGUAUGACUGCAUGAAAGCUCAGAUAGAACAGUACACCAGUUACCUUUUUCUAACAGAAAUGCAAAGAAGACAAAAUUCCAUGGCUGAACUGUGGCCAAGAAAAAUUGUGCCAUAGCCAUAUUGAAAACAUGGAAUCCAGUAUGGCUCGGUGACAGAACUGGAGCAGCAUUCUCCUCUGAAACUGAAGCCUAAGUUACACAGCACUUCAAUGUGACUGAGCAGGUUGCUGACAGCUGCUUUCUGCUAAAAGGAUAUAGAAGCUCCAUUUAGCCAGAAAACAGAAAAUAAAACACUUAAGCCCAUAAUUUACUUGCAUAAGCAAGAUCACCCAUACACAAUUAGAUGCAAAGUGCUAGCAUGUUAAUGGUCAACUCUGCACCCCAUUUGAAAAUAUGUUUUAUGGUGAAGUGCAAUAAACUGUGUUUCUUUUGAUAUGUUUAAUGACAACCCCUUUGCUCAGAACAGAGCACAGGGCUGCCUUCUGCUUAGUGCCUGUGUUAUGGGAAACACAAAUCAAACUUCUUUUUCCUCCCUAAGGUUGAAAAUUAGAAGAUAGUAUUUGGGAGGUGUAGUUUUCUCAUUUUGACCACUUCAAUAUAAUGCUGGGUUAACCUUUCAAUAUGCUAGGAAGCUUUGCAUCACGUUCCAUGGAAAGUUUGUAUUCAUCUGCAAGUCAAUCACAGUCCUACUGAAUCACAAUUGAAGCUGGGGAAGUUUGCAUAAGUUCAAGCAGGUUCUCAGGGCCCAAUUCAGCUACCACUUCAGUCACCAAGAGAAUUCCUUCAUGCAUAAGCAGAGCUGGAUUGGGCCAUUAAAGCUGAUUGCUGCUAGCAAGAGAAACUGCAGAGAUGCAGGGACAAGGAGGAGCUGGAAUAGAGGCAAUGGAGCAGAGAAGCAGAAAAAGCUGGCAUUUUGCAAAAGGCCUCAGCGAGACUAAAUAUAAAACAAAAGCAGAGACAAAGCAAAGAAACUCCACUGCAAGGGCUGAAGUAACACAAAACAAUGGUGGCCAAGCUCAGAUCAGUCUCUGAGUCAUCCAGACCCCUCAGAAGAAUCUAAAACAACUUGUCUGGCACAAGUGCUUACCUGUUACACAUAUGUUAUAUGGACAGUCCCUCUCUUUAGCUCACACCCUCACUCAUGUUAUAGCUAAUGUAUAGGAGUGUGAUACAAGGUAUAUUCCAUCUAUCAAUCUGUAUGAAUGUAUACAUAGAUUUAGAUUGAUUGCAUUCAUACAUAUUUAUUGUACAUCAUGAGGGCAACUCCACAUUCGGCAAAAUUCUACCAUUAUCUCACAUACAGAUGUAUCUCUCUGUACAGGUGUGCACAAAAAAUGGAUCUAUUCUCCUCCAAAAAGGCAUAAAGAUCUGUGCUCCUAAUUCCCAUUACCACCAAAUAAGCAGAAGAAAAGGCCUCUGACAACUUCCACCUCCCUACCCUUUUGUCUGUAUGCAUAUGUGCCAGCAAAAAAUUUUGGGGAGAAGAAGAGGGGGAGGGAUGCCUGGGGGAGUAUCAACAUCAUGAUAUGGAGGAGAAUAUUAAAAACAAUUGCAAAAAAUUUCAAAUUUCUGUUCCAUACUAGAAGCUCUGUUUUUCUAAAAAGGUUUUUAAAGUCACCAGGAUCAUCAUACUUAAAAUUAUACUGUAUGAGUAAAUAACGAUUAGAUUAUUUUCUCCAAACUAAAUAGAACAGUAUGAAGAGUAAGCCAAUCUGCAAGAAUAUUUCUGUCUUCUCAAAAUUUCAAGUGAUAGCUCCCAUAAAGAAAUCUUCCUUCUCCAAUUAUGAAAAAAAGGUAAAUGGUCAUAAUCAAAUUCAGAAUUUCACAGCCUAAAUGAAACUCCCUUGACUGAAUGUGUAUUUUGUUCUGCAAUCCCACAACUGCAAUUUUGGGGCAAAAUUGAUGUACACAAAAAUCCUUAGAAGAGAAAAAAAAUCUACUUUGAAGACAAGAUCCUUUUAUGGAAUAAAGACCACUGAAGAGACAGUACCCCUUACAAUCUGAUUGGAAAACACAAGUACACUGAUUGACAACAUUUUCCAAAUCAGACCGUAGAUUUGGGUAUUAAUUUGAAAAGAUACAGCAAUUCUCACGCCUCUCCAUCCCACUGAAUGCAAACCUUCCCAUUCAGUUUGUCCU